AUUGAACGCUGGCGGCAGGCCUAACACAUGCAAGUCGAACGAGUGGCGGACGGGUGAGUAAUGUCUGGGAAACUGCCUGAUGGAGGGGGGUAACUACUGGAAACGGUAGCUAAUACCGCAUACCAUCGGAUGUGCCCAGAUGGGAGUAGCUAGUAUGUAGGGUAAAGGCGCACCUAGGCGACGAUCCCUAGCUGGUCUGAGAGGAUGACCAGCCACACGGUAACUGAGACACGUUCCAGACUCCGACGGGAGGCAGCAGGGGGGAAUAUGGCACAAUGGGCGCAAGCCUGAUGCAGCCAUGCCGCGUGUAUGAAGAAGGCCUUCGGGUUGUAAAGUACUUUCAGCGGGGAGGCGUUACCCGCAGAAGAAGCACCGGCUAACUCCGUGCCAGCAGCCGCGGUAAUAC
rnacentral:rRNA from 1 species